CAGCAUGGAAGAUGCUCAGUGUCCUGGAUUACCAGAUUUAAUUGAAGAAAACCAUGUUGUAAAUAAGACAGACUUGAAGGUGGAUUGUUUACCCAGUGAGAGAAUGAGUUUUCCUCUUCUUGCUGGUGGAGUAGCAGAUGAUAUUAAUACUAACAAAAAAGAAGAAAUUUCAGAUGUUGUGGAAGGAAUGGAACUGAAUUCUUCAGUUACAUCACAGGAUGUUUUGAUGAGUAGCCCUGAAAAAAAUACAGCUUCACAAAAUAGCAUCUUAGAAGAAGGGGAAACUAAAAUUUCUCAGUCAGAACUAUUUGAUAAUAAAAGUCUCACUACUGAAUGCCACCUUCUUGAUUCAGUAAGUUUUCCAACUUGACAAGUCCCUUUAUAUUCUAGAUUUGUUUUAUAAAAUGAAUAUUGCUUUUCUAUUUGUGUACAAGGCUUAAAAUGUAUAUCUUGUCAUUGUUUUGCUUACUCACUAUUCAUUUUUCACAGAAUGAAAAAUUUGGUGUUUAUAUACUUUAAAAUAUAGUAUGUUUUAAUAUUAACCCUGAAGAUAAGUUUCUCUAUAUGGUUUUUCUAUCAAAUUUGCUCUGACAAACUGGGUACUUGAAUAUCUGAAUAUAUUUCUAAGUGAUUCAAGAAAAAUAUAAGGCAAAGUUUCUGCCCUUCUGGGGAAAUAAUGUCUAUCCCACCUUCAGUCAUCAUUGGUUAUUUAUGUCCUGCUAUUUUAGUGGCUACUUCCCUGCUUUUAUUUCUGGUGACCUCUUGCCUCUAAAUCUAAUUCAGACAGCCCUUUUGUGAAGCCUUCUGUAAAAGCUCUUAU
rnacentral:sRNA from 1 species